GUCGAGCGAUGAGACUCCUACGGGAGCACAUCAGCGGCAGACGGGUGAGUAACACGUAGAUGACGUACCCUCAAGACGGGGAUAACGGAUGGAAACAUGCGCUAAUACCGGAUGACCUUACGAUGUCAGAAUGGUAAGGAAAGCUACGGCGCUUGAGGAGCGGUCUGCGGCCCAUCAGCUAGUUGGUAGGGUAAAGGCCUACCAAGGCGAAGACGGGUAGGGGGUGUGAGAGCACGGCCCCCCACAAUGGGACUGAGACACGGCCCAUACUCCUACGGGAGGCAGCAGCAGGGAAUAUUGCACAAUGGACGGAAGCCUGAUGCAGCGACGCCGCGUGAGUGAAGAAGGCCUUCGGGUUGUAAAACUCUUUUGAGGGGGAAGAGCGAGGACGGUACCCCUGGAAUAAGCGUCGGCUAACUACGUGCCAGCAGCCGCGGUAAGACGUAGGACGCGAGCGUUAUCCGGAUUUACUGGGCGUAAAGCGUCUGUAGGCGGAUGUGUAAGUUGGGCGUGAAAGCUCCGGGCUUAACCCGGAGAGGCCGUUCAAUACUGCAUAACUUGAGGGUGUCAGAGGGGAGCGGAAUUCCCGGUGUAGCGGUAAAAUGCGCAGAGAUCGGGAGGAACACCAGUGGUGGAGGCGGUUCCCUGGGGCACACCUGACGCUGAGAGACGAAAGCUAGGGGAGCGAACAGGAUUAGAGACCCUGGUAG
rnacentral:rRNA from 1 species